CUUACAGCAAAACUCCCCACUGGGACAUGUCCAGCGUUUCAAAAUUCCCAGGCCACAGAAAACGGAAGUUGUGGAAUCAAGAACAAGUUUGCGGUCAGGUAUUUGUGCUCAUUUGCUGACCAGUUGUUUUGCAAGGCUUCAUUCCUAAUUCCGGUAAGCUUUACUGGGCUGGUUUUCAUUUUCCCUCUUCCUCAACUGUAAUAUUUGCAAAGGCUCUGCUGUAUGCCUUAUCUUAUUGUGCAUUUUGUCUUUUAGCCCCACCUUCUUAUUACAUUCCUAGAGGGGAAAACUACGUACACACACAAAACACAAUUUCCUAGUUGCACCGAUGCUCAGAUCAGUUUGUAUAUUUCUGGAUUGACACUACUAAAAUGUUUCUGCUGCUGGGAAAGUCAGGCCCAAGCAAUCAAAACAAAGAAUGAAGGGAAUAUUUGUUGCUUCAAAUCUUUGGUUUAUAGUGCAUCCACAAAUCUGAUGGUCCCUGAAGUGUUCUGACAAUGGCCGUUUUCAAAAAGCAAAGAUUAAAAAAUUAUGAUGUGUGUUGGUGGGGAAGAAAGCAACAGAUUAAACAAUAGCUGGUGCCGGACAGUGACUAAGUGACCGAGGGCACCUGCAAAUGGGCUUUUUAAAAUGUGAAUUUAGGAUGAUUUGUUCUCUUAACUAUUGGGGUGUCAUAUGCACUCCUGCAUUCAAGAUAAUUUACAACCUCAAAACCUGUGAGCUGGUCUCAUGGCAUCAGUGCUUUUUUCUGGGGGGACGCAUACCCCUAAAAAUUUUGUGAAUGUAAGUUUGGCCUCAUUGAGGGGUAGUAUUUCAAUACGAGUAGGAAAAUGAGAGUACCCAUAAACAUUUUUUUUAGAAAACAAGCACUGCAUGGCAUCAUUAGUAAUUGGUGUGUGGCCCAUUGCUUCCUGCUGAAAUCCCAAAAGAGAUUCUUGUGGACUUUAGGAAAUGUAAAUUGAAUAUUCAGCCACUCCUUAUUGAGGGGAAGUGUGUGGAACAGGUCUCGGUGUUUCGAUUUCUGGGAAUGGAAUUGAGAGAUAACCUAACCUGGGAGAAAACAGCAAAGACCUGAUGAAGAGAGCACAGCAGAGGUUAUAUAUUCUGAGAAUCCUCUGGAAAAAUAAUCUCUCAAAGGACCUGUUGAUGGCAUUUUACCAUUGUACUUUUGAGAGUGUAUUAAUGUGUGGUCUCUAUGUGUGGUUUGGGAGCUGCAUGGUCAGGGAAAAAACAAUGCUGUCCAUGGUUGUAAAGACUGCGGAGAGAAUAAUUAGGUGCACUCUUCCCACCUUGGAUCAAAUCUAUGCUUCCAGGUGCCAUAAGAAAGCUGCAGAGAUAGUGCAGGAUAGUGCGCACCCCGGAAAUGAUCUCUUUCAGCUUCUGCCUUCUGGAAGACGGUACAGUGUUAUAAAGACUAGGACUAGCCGCCUGAGAAACAGUUUCUAUCCAAAUGUGAUUUUGGUUUUAAACACAAUGUAAGGUAGUCUCCAUGGAAGUAUAUUGUAUUUGAUUAUGGAGUAUCAGAGUUUUUAGGGGCUAACCAGGCUGGAAUAGUUGGGAUAGCAGGCUUGUCAGUUUUUGAAUGUCUGAUGUAGAUUUUUUCAAUUUCGUUGUUCUGUAUGGGACAAUGACAAGAAAGAUUAUCGUAUCGUAUUGCUGUUUUCGUUUUGCCAACCAACUCUUGCUCCUCAAUCUUUAACACAAAGGGGGAGAAGCUGAGGGCCAUAUUCUCUUCUGCGCAACCUCCCUUGGGCCGCAUGGAAGGGGUGGGCAGGCUCAGUAGCAAAAGCAUCCAGACAAAUGUAAAUGUUACCUUCGUGCAGUAGGCAAGUUUUCUAUGCACACUCACACACUUCUAUCCCGUGCUGUUUUAUCUAUUUUUUUUAAAAAGAGGUGAAGGAACUGACCACCUCCCUCAACCUCUUACAAUAGCAGUGGUGCCCACCUCUGAGGUACUGGAACUGAGUUCCGGUAAGUUCCGGCUGAAAAAAAGUCCUUCCUCUAUUGUUCAUCUGGACAAACAAGAGUUCUUGUCAGUCCAGAUGAGGCAAAAAUGUUUGGAGUUUGAAGAAGGACUGUGGCCUGGAGAGAGUUCUCAGAGCUAGACAGUGGGUUGCUUUCAGCUCCCUGGGCUUUACAAGCGUGCAUUAGGUGAUGAUGCUUCUCCCUACGCCAUAGAAAGCUACAUACGUUGGCAUCUAUGGAUUAAACUGCUGUUACUCCAGCCACAAGAGCAAGAUGGUUGGGGAAUUUUCUUUCAGUUGGUAACCUUGCACAUCAGUAUACCGAGGGCGUGGGAGAGAGAGGAAGCUGUUUGUACUCUGCUCUGCUUCUGAAUUUUCAGCAUCCAGUCAUAAUCGGAAACAAUUAUGUAUCUUUAUUUCUGUUCAGUGCCAGGAAAGAUAUCUACUGCGCAGAAUAUUCCACACAGGCUAGCCUGCUGCUGAAUCUUCUAGCCAUAAAACACCUGGAACCAAUUGGACAUUCUGCAUUGUCAAUCUGGAUUCCAAGGCUCUCUGAGGGAGUGUCCAGUGCAGGAAAGCUGUAAAUGUUUAACAGAGCCCCUCAGGAAAUAUGGAAGGGGGGGUAGGAUUUCUAGGUUGUUUAAACAAGAGAUUCUUUGAUAACCGAAAACCAUCUCAUGCCUUCAGGAAUGAACAGAAUAGCAGGGGGAAAACAUUAUGGAAUAACUUGACUCUCCUUUUCAAAUCUUUAUUUUAAUUUCACAGCACAUUCCAACAGCUAGCAAAGUAAAAUGAUACCUGUAUGUCGCUUUGCUGAAAUGUCAUUAACUGAUUGUGUCAAAUUCUUUGUAUCCAGAAUCUUUCUGUUAACCGAAUAAAUGCUCUUAAGGGCUGAUAUAAUGGGAUAACUUCAUGUUUGCCACCCUGGUGUCCUUGGGGGAAAUGUGGGGGAAGAAAUAAUGGAAUGAAGAACUGUCAGUUAUUUGCAAGGGACUGGGAAAUGAGCAGAGAUAGCAAGGAGAGAAAAAGGUUGAGAGUCGGUUCUGUAAUCCAAAACCCACCUUAGUCCCUUGGCAGGCUGACCAUCACAUCCACAGCUCAUGCCUGCUGGGCUGAAGGGCAGGGGGAUCAGGCAAAUUGCUGUGCCAAUCUGGAGCUGGCACAACUAUCAGGUACAAUCCAGAGUCAGACCUGAUCCCAUCAAGUGGUAGCGGUGGAGCUGGCUCAGGAACCAGUGGAUCCCAGGCCAGCGCAUCCCUUUCUCACCCCCAGCCUUGCUGGUUGGUACUUUUGUACUUGUGACUUGGCUGCAGGUUAAGUUUACCUUGGUGUGCAGAUGCCAUAUCAAGUGAUCCAAUUUUUUACCUCGUCAUCCAAUUUUCUUAAUAUUUUCUACACUUGUUGAAUGAUCAAACCUAAGUUUAAAUGAAAAUUUUUUUAUUUUUUUUUGCUUUUUAUCUCAUCCCAUUUUUGAGUUAUGAGGGUUUGAAGUUUCAACGAAUUGACAAUUUCGGCCUUGUCGCACUACACAAAAACCUUAAAAGCUCAGCCCAGUAUUGACAUAUGCCAAAACUAAAAACACUGAUCUCUUCAGAACUUUAAUAUGAUAUGUCACAAGGAGGACUUACCCUAAAGUUUUAAUUAAGUUACAAAAAAAUUUAAAGUGAUAAAAAUAUGCUUUAUAUUUUCAAAAAAAAUGUAUUGAUUAUUUAAUAUUUCUAAGAUCUACCUGCAAGAUCUUGGGAUCUCAAUGGGAUCACAUUGGGGGAAAAUAUUUUGUACAUACGUGUCUGCCUUAUUGGGUUCUAUUUAGGAUAAAUGGGUCUUCUUGGAGUAAAAUAACAGAAGAAACAAAUGAUAAGAUCAGUUACUUCAGGCAUUUCUUUAGAAAGAUAUGCAAUUAAAAGGUAUCUGAAAAGCUAGUCAGGCUUUUCUUUUAAGAAACGUGUUCCAAAGCAGAACGAUAGCUUGCUGUUGCAAAGGCAGAAUUAAUGCUUUGAAAGAAUUAUUGUUAGUUUCAUGAUCAUUACAUGAACAUUAUUUGGAGAAUCUGCUUCAGGGUUGGGUGAUUUGCUACCUGGUCUAGGAGUUCCAGCUUACUUCCAAAAUGCUCUUCUUCUCUAUUUGCAAGCAAAACAAAUAUUACUGCUCUCGGAUCCAUAAUAAACUAUAAUGUUAUUUUUUUAGCUGUUGGUUUAUUAAGACUCUCCUCCUCCAAAGAGGGGAGGGGUUGUGGGCGGGAUCCGAUCCCAGCCUCAAGCAGGGGGCGUUAGCCCCCUGCCGCCCACUCACCUGGCUGGCGCACCACGCCCACGGGCAGGCGGCCAACCAGGCGGCUGGAAGGGGGCGUGGACAGCAACUUAACUUGUUGCUGCGCCAGCCACGCGGCCUCACUUUUAGGAAUUUUUCCAUUUGGCAUUAGGCUUUGUGGUUUUUUCGCCUACCUCGUAGCAACCGUCACAACUUUCUUGGUAUUGGCGGUUAGGUUAGGCAUUGGAAUAUGUUGCGGUGUGUGGAAGGGCUAGGUGUGGCAAUCGCCUACGCCUUCAAUUUUUGGGUAUUCUGUUAAAGGAAUCCGGUGGUCGUGGAUCAUGUCCAAUGCCUGUGUGGCAGGGGGCCAUGGCACGACCCUCAGUGACAUCAGGGGAGAGCUUAUAGUUGGAUUAGCAUCAACGGGCUCCACCUACUGGUGAAUAAACCCCCCUUUUAGACUCAUCCCUCUCCGAGUGGGUGGAGUCAAGUCACGUGAUCCAAUGCCUAAGCCAAUACCUUUUCACUUGCUGUAAUCAAUAAAGUUGUGGCCUUUUUCUUGCCCAUUAGCCUUAUAUUACUUGUCCUCAUGUCUUCAUUUCACUACGCGGGGAUCGGGCCCUCGAACCACAACUAUUAUUAUUAUUAAGUCACUGCUAAUCUAGACUGUUUGUCCAAAGCCUGUGAAACAAAGACAGGCUUCAGAAAUCCCCAGCACUUAGUGCUUUCACUUGGCCCAGCAGUAUCAGGCAAACUCCAGGUAUUUGCCUGUUUUUCACUUGGCCCAGCAGUAUCAGGCAAACUCCAGGUAUUUGCCUGUUUUAUUUGACUAUUUAUGGAUACAGAAAGUUCCAAAGUAUGAUUGCUUCGUUCUGAGUCCAGAAACGAAAUGUGUCCUAAUUUGGGCUCAUGCAUCUUGCUAUUAGGCUAUUGGGCAUAGUAUAUGUGUUGCAUUACAUUGGGUACCAUAGAGGCUCAUCUCACUGUCCCACCAGGGUGUUUGGCAUGUGAUGUGCUGGUGUGGGGCAGAGCCUUCUCUGUAGAGGAGGCCCUGCUGUGCAGCUCACUCUCUCAGGAUGUAUGGAGGGCUGCAUCUUUAUUAAUGCCUAGUUAAAACAUUCAUGCUCUCCCACGCCUUUGGAGCUACAGUAUUUAUUUUAGUUUUGACUGGUGUCAUGCCUUAAUCUAUCGGAUCUAUUGCUGUUCACCUUUAAUUGCCGUCCCUGUUCAACUUACUACGCCAUGUGAAUAUAUUCCUAUUCAUCUGAGCAUUUUGAUCUUAAUUUAUGUUCAUCUUUAAUAAUAAUAAUAAUAAUAAUAAUAAUAAUAAUAAUAAUAAUUUAUUUAUACCCCACCCAUCAGGAUGCGUUUCCCCAGCCACUCUGGGCGUCUCCCAACAGAAUAUUAAUAUUAUUAUUAAUAAUAAUAAUCAUAAUAAUAAAGCGAUAAAACACCAAACAUUAAAAACUUCCCUAAACAGGGUUAGGACAGACCCAUUCUUUGUUACUGAAGAAUGAGCACUUUUAGUUUUUGAGGCAUUUUAAUUUGUAUUAUGAGUCGCUCUGAAACCAAACAAACUCUAGUAUGUGACCCAAAAAGUUAAUACGGUAAUCAGAAUGAUAAUGCUGUUAGAUACUAUGCUGGCAGAUGUCCUGCGAUUACUCUGUUAUGAAGGGUGUCCUAUAAAUUUUGCUAAUACAGUGGUACCUCAGGUUAAGAACUUAAUUCGUUCUGGAGGUCCAUUCUUAACCUGAAACUGUUCUUAACCUGAGGUACCACUUUAGCUAAUGGGGCCUCCCGCUGCCACUGCGCCGCUGCCGCGCGAUUUCUGUUCUCAUCCUGAAGCAAAGUUCUUAACCCGAGGUACUAUUUCUGGGUUAGCGGAGUCUGUAACUUGAAGCGUCUGUAACCUGAAACAUCUGUAAUCCGUGGUACCACUGUAGACAAAUGCACACAUUAUUCCACUUCUAUUGGGUUCAUAACAGGGUUUCUUUUUUCCUUCUUUACCAGACCCACCACCGAGAAAAACCUGGGAAGCAAUUCUGACUGAAGAACCUGCCAGACCACUCAUACCCCAGGAGCUAUCCUAUCAAACAUAUACCGUACAUAUUAGUCAAAGGGAAAGAACG